CCUACGGGAGGCAGCAGUCGGGAAUAUUGCGCAAUGGAGGAAACUCUGACGCAGUAACGCCGCGUGCAGGAAGAAGGUUUUCGGAUUGUAAACUGCUUUAGACAGGGAAGAAAAAGAACAGUACCUGUAGAAUAAGCUCCGGCUAACUACGUGCCAGGAGCCGCGGUAAUACGGAGGAUCCGAGCGUUAUCCGGAUUUAUUGGGGUUAAAGGUAGGGUAGAUGGGUUGUUAAGGCAGUUGUGAAAGUUUUCGGCUCAACCGUAAAAUUGCAAUUGAUACUGGCAGCCUUGAGUACAGUUGAGGUAGGCGGAAUUCGUGGUGUAGCGGUAAAAUGCUUAGAUAUCACGAAGAACUCUGAUUGCGAAGGCAGCUUACUAAACUGCCACUGACAUUGAUGCUCGAAAGUGUGGGUAGCAAACAGGAUUAGAUACCCCAGUAGUC
rnacentral:rRNA from 1 species